GAUGAACGCUGGCGGCGUGCUUAACACAUGCAAGUCGAACGGACAGGCGCUGAUCUUGCUGGUUGCUCGUUAGCCGAACGGGUGUGAAACACGUGAGUAACACGUCCUUGACAUUGGGAUAAAACCAGGGGACUGGGGAUAAUAUCGGAUAGAAUAUAUUGCAGCACGGGGGGGGUUGGAAAGUUUCGGCGGUGGGGGCUCGACUCGCGGCUUAUCAGCUUGUUGGUGGGGUAGUGGCUUACCAAGGCUUUGACGGGUAGCCGGCCUGAGAGGGUGACCGGCCACAUUGGGACUGAGAUACGGCCCAGACUCCUACGGGAGGCAGCAGUGGGGAAUAUUGCACAAUGGGCGGAAGCCUGAUGCAGCAACGCCGCGUGCGGGAUGACGGCCUUCGGGUUGUAAACCGCUUUCGCCUGUGACGAAGCGUGAGUGACGGUAAUGGGUAAAGAAGCACCGGCUAACUACGUG
rnacentral:rRNA from 1 species